rnacentral:rRNA from 1 species
UACGUAGGGGCAAGCGUUGUCCGGAAUCAUUGGGCGUAAAGAGCGUGUAGGCGGCCCGAUAAGUCCGCUGUGAAAGUCCAGGGCUCAACCCUGGAAUGCCGGUGGAUACUGUCGGGCUCGAAUCCGGAAGAGGUGAGUGGAAUUCCUGGUGUAGCGGUGAAAUGCGCAGAUAUCAGGAGGAACACCAAUGGCGAAGGCAGCUCACUGGGACGGUAUUGACGCUGAGACGCGAAAGCGUGGGGAGCGAACAGG